GGUCGGGAGUACGAAGGUCAUACAAUACCCUAACGGGAAAAGCCUUCUACCGACUAUGGACGGUUGAGAGCUCCCGACCUUCUUUCU
rnacentral:ncRNA from 1 species